AGUCGUCUGGGCGACUAUAAACAGGCAUUAAGCCCAGAGCGUCCUUCCUGCUGCGGGAAGGGGUUGCA
rnacentral:ribozyme from 1 species